AGUGAACGCUGGCGGCAGGCCUAACACAUGCAAGUCGAACGGUAACAGGAAACAGCUUGCUUUUUCGCUGACGAGUGGGGGACGGGUGAGUAGUGUCUGGCAAACUGUCUUAUGGAGGGGGAUAACUACUGGAAACGGUAGCUAAUACCGCACAACGUCGCAACACCAAAGAGGGGGACCUUCGGGCCUCUUGCCCUCUGAUGUGCCCAGAUGGGAUUAUCUAGUAGGUGGGGUAACGGCUCACCUAGGCGACGAUCCCUAGCUGGUCUGAGAGGAUGACCAGCCACACUGGAACUGAGACACGGUCCAGACUCCUACGGGAGGCAGCAGUGGGGAAUAUUGGACAAAGGGCGCAAGCCUGAUGCAGCCAUGCCGCGUGUAUGAAGAAGGCCUUCGGGUUGUAAAGUACUUUCAGUGGGGAGGAAGGGAGUAAAGUUAAUACCCUUCCUCAUUGACGUUACCCCCAGAAGAAGCACCGGCUAACUACGUG
rnacentral:rRNA from 1 species